rnacentral:rRNA from 1 species
CCUACGGGAGGCUGCAGUGGGGAAUAUUGGACAAUGGGGGCAACCCUGAUCCAGCCAUGCCGCGUGUGUGAAGAAGGCCCUCGGGUUGUAAAGCACUUUCAGUGAGGAAGAACGCCUGGUGGUUAAUACCCAUCAGGAAAGACAUCACUCACAGAAGAAGCACCGGCUAACUCCGUGCCAGCAGCCGCGGUAAUACGGAGGGUGCGAGCGUUAAUCGGAAUUACUGGGCGUAAAGCGCGCGUAGGUGGCUUGAUAAGCCGGUUGUGAAAGCCCCGGGCUCAACCUGGGAACGGCAUCCGGAACUGUCAAGCUAGAGUGCAGGGGAGGAAGGUAGAAUUCCCGGUGUAGCGGUGAAAUGCGUAGAGAUCGGGAGGAAUACCAGUGGCGAAGGCGGCCUUCUGGACUGACGCUGACACUGAGGUGCGAAAGCGUGGGUAGCAAACAGGAUUAGAUACCCCGGUAGUC